rnacentral:rRNA from 1 species
AGAGUUUGAUCCUGGCUCAGAAUCAACGCUGGCGGCGCGCUUAACACAUGCAAGUCGCACGAGAAAGUGGAGCAAUCCAUGAGUACAGUGGCGUACGGGUGAGUAACACGUGGAUCAUCUACCUUUUAGUGGGGAAUACCCCCGGGAAACUGGGGAUAAUACCGCAUAAGCUCGUAAGAGGAAAGCAGCAAUGCGCUGAAAGAGGAGUCCGCGGCUGAUUAGCUAGUUGGUGAGGUAAUGGCUCACCAAGGCGAAGAUCGGUAGCCGGCCUGAGAGGGCACACGGCCACACUGGCACUGAAACACGGGCCAGACUCCUACGGGAGGCAGCAGUGGGGAAUCUUGCACAAUGGAGGAAACUCUGAUGCAGCGACGCCGCGUGAGCGAUGAAGCCCUUCGGGGUGUAAAGCUCUUUCGACGGGAACGAUAAUGACGGUACCCGAAGAAGAAGCUGCGGCUAACUACGUGCCAGCAGCCGCGGUAAUACGUAGGCAGCAAGCGUUGUUCGGAAUUACUGGGCGUAAAGAGUGUGUAGGCGGUGCUCUAAGUCUGUUGUGAAAUCUCCCGGCUUAACCGGGAGGGUGCGGCGGAAACUGGAGUGCUUGAGGGUGGGAGAGGUAAGCGGAAUUCCUGGUGUAGCGGUGAAAUGCGUAGAUAUCAGGAGGAACACCUGUGGUGUAGACAGCUUACUGGACCACUUCUGACGCUGAGACACGAAAGCGUGGGUAGCAAACAGGAUUAGAUACCCNNGUAGUCC